UACGAAGGGGGCUAGCGUUGUUCGGAAUUACUGGGCGUAAAGGGCGCGUAGGCGGCCUCGCACGUCAGGAGUGAAAUCCCCAGGCUCAACCUGGGAAUUGCUUUUGAGACUGCGAAGCUUGAGUACAGGAGAGGUGAGUGGAAUUCCCAGUGUAGAGGUAAAAUUCGUAGAUAUUGGGAGGAACACCGGUGGCGAAGGCGGCUCACUGGCCUGUAACUGACGCUGAGGCGCGAAAGCGUGGGGAGCAAACAGG
rnacentral:rRNA from 1 species